rnacentral:rRNA from 1 species
AACGCGAAGAACCUUACCUACUCUUGACAUCCAGAGAAUUUAGCAGAGAUGCUUUAGUGCCUUCGGGAACUCUGAGACAGGUGCUGCAUGGCUGUCGUCAGCUCGUGUUGUGAAAUGUUGGGUUAAGUCCCGCAACGAGCGCAACCCUUAUCCUUUGUUGCCAGCGCGUAAUGGCGGGAACUCAAAGGAGACUGCCGGUGAUAAACCGGAGGAAGGUGGGGAUGACGUCAAGUCAUCAUGGCCCUUACGAGUAGGGCUACACACGUGCUACAAUGGCGCAUACAAAGAGAAGCGACCUCGCGAGAGCAAGCGGACCUCAUAAAGUGCGUCGUAGUCCGGAUUGGAGUCUGCAACUCGACUCCAUGAAGUCGGAAUCGCUAGUAAUCGUAAAUCAGAAUGUUACGGUGAAUACGUUCCCGGGCCUUGUACACACCG